ACACUGUGUUCGCUGUGCUGUCACCUAUGAAAGGUAUUUGGCUGUGUACCAGACGCUUCCGGGUAGUGUUUUGUUGAUCUACCGAAGGUCUUGACUGAAAAGACGCCGUGUACGCGCAGGUUGCACUUUCUAUUGGGAGAUGCGUUAAGGUAACAUUGGCUGUAUAUCUCAGUAAGGUUUGCCAUGUAAUAUGUGUGUGUGCAUGUGUACAUAUGUAUGUUUAUAUGCCAGUUUACAGUAACUGGAUCUACUAUAAUGUGUCAUGUUUCGCUGUAAGUCCUUGUGAUUUAACUAGCCAAUAACCUUUUAUUAUGUUGUAUGUGAGCUAUGCUUGUGUGUGAUUUUAUGUAGGUUUGCGUACUGGAGAGAU